rnacentral:rRNA from 1 species
AGAUGCGAUCAUACCAGCGUUAAUGCAUCAGAUCCCAUCAGAACUCCGCAGUUAAGUGCGCUUGGGCUAGAGUAGUACUGGGAUGGGUGACCUCCCAAGACUAUCUUCAAAUACUUUGGAAUUC